GACGAACGCUGGCGGCGUGCUUAACACAUGCAAGUCGAACGAUGAUGCCCAGCUUGCUGGGUGGAUCAGUGGCGAACGGGUGAGUAAUACGUGAGUAACCUGCCCUUGACUCUGGGAUAAGCCUGGGAAACUGGGUCUAAUACUGGAUACUACCUCUCAUCGCAUGGUGGGUGGUGGAAAGGGUUUUACUGGUUUUGGAUGGGCUCACGGCCUAUCAGCUUGUUGGUGGGGUAAUGGCUCACCAAGGCGACGACGGGUAGCCGGCCUGAGAGGGUGACCGGCCACACUGGGACUGAGACACGGCCCAGACUCCUACGGGAGGCAGCAGUGGGGAAUAUUGCACAAUGGGCGGAAGCCUGAUGCAGCGACGCCGCGUGAGGGACGACGGCCUUCGGGUUGUAAACCUCUUUCAGUAGGGAAGAAGCGAGAGUGACGGUACCUGCAGAAGAAGCGCCGGCUAACUACGUGCCAGCAGCCGCAGUAAGAC
rnacentral:rRNA from 1 species